GAUUUUACCUUUAAGGGUAGUAGAAUGCACACACAGUUUAUACAUAUAUACACAUAUAAGAUAGUUCUUACACACAUAUAGUGCUACAAUAAUCACAUCAACAACAAAAACACAACUGUAUCAUAUCAUAUUAAAUUUGUAAAUAACAAAGUUUCUAUAUAUUUAAAAUAAAACAGUUGUAUUAAUUUAUAGCUAACUGUUUGAAGGCAAAAUGUAUUAGCAUUGAAAAAGGCUGACAAAUUGAUGACAAAUCUGGCAUAAGAUUUUAUAGUACACAUUUUGAGUGAUUGAGUGCAAGGAAAAAAUUAUCAAGUAUGAACUCAAACUAUUAUUAUUGUUGCAAAAUCAUAUCCGACAAAAAGCCUCCUCGUGGGGUAUUUCUUUAUUCAGCUGUUUUUAUAGUGGUUAUUUGGUUAUUUGGUUACCAGACCAAAUAUUUUAUGAUUAUUUAAUUAUUUGAUAAUCUACAACUGUAUUUUUUCUUAUCUUGUUUAGAAAAAUAAUUAAUGAUUCUGUGAUUAUAUUGUUAAAAAAAAAUGUGAUUAUAUGAUCAUUCGGACAACCCCAUGAGGGGCCUCACAAAAUCUAAUCUCUAUUGGAUAUAAUUGAAUAUAAUACAAAUGUUAAAAGGGCAAAUCAAACAGAAAGUUGUAUAGCGUUGCGCUUAAACACAAACAAACAACACAUGGUGUAGAUAACCGUACUUGGUAGAGACGCACAAUUUGAUUCGGUGUAAGUCCAUAAAUGUUUUGUGAAAUGUUCUCAAACACUUACAAAUAUUUGAUUAUAUAAUAUAACCAAACAAUUAUCACUGAUCUAUUUGGAUUCAAAAUCUGUUUUCCUGAUGAAUGAAAAAUAAUGUCAAUUGAUAGAACAGAUGCAUUAUGUCAAAACCAUUGUUUUUUUAGCAAUAACUAUAUUUACAUAAUAUGAGCGUAUCGUUGCAUUUUUGUUCAAAACCUUAUUGACGAAGAAACAUUUUUAUUUACAAGCUUACAUUUAAAGUAGCUGCACGAUUAACACCAUAGCAGCAAGCUACUGUCAAGAAUUUAGAAAUGCAUGAAGAACAAGAUUCGGUCUCUGAUUUAGUUAUUUCAUAUCUGCAUACUUUAGUAUUCAUUAGACUUAAAUUUAGAACUAAAUUAACUAUUAAGGUAUUAUUGAACAGCUUCAAGUGAUUGAUAUACCAAGUAACGAAUGAAAUGAAACUCGUAAUAA
rnacentral:lncRNA from 1 species